AGAGUUUGAUCCUGGCUCAGGAUGAACGCUGGCGGCGUGCUUAACACAUGCAAGUCGAACGAACCUUCGGGUUAGUGGCGGACGGGUGAGUAACGCGUGAGAAUCUGCCCUCAGGAGGGGGAUAACGGCUGGAAACGGCCGCUAAUACCCCAUAUGCCGAGAGGUGAAACGAGUUUUCGCCUGAGGAUGAGCUCGCGUCUGAUUAGCUAGUUGGUGGGGUAAAAGCCUACCAAGGCAUCGAUCAGUAGCUGGUCUGAGAGGAUGAUCAGCCACACUGGGACUGAGACACGGCCCAGACUCCUACGGGAGGCAGCAGUGGGGAAUUUUCCGCAAUGGGCGAAAGCCUGACGGAGCAACGCCGCGUGAGGGAUGAAGGCCUCUGGGCUGUAAACCUCUUUUAUCAAGGAAGAAGAUCUGACGGUACUUGAUGAAUAAGCCACGGCUAAUUCCGUGCCAGCAGCCGCGGUAAUACGGGAGUGGCAAGCGUUAUCCGGAAUUAUUGGGCGUAAAGCGUCCGCAGGCGGCCUGAUAAGUCUGUUGUCAAAGCGUGGAGCUUAACUCCAUUUCGGCAAUGGAAACUGUGAGGCUUGAGUGUGGUAGGGGCAGAGGGAAUUCCCGGUGUAGCGGUGAAAUGCGUAGAUAUCGGGAAGAACACCAGUGGCGAAGGCGCUCUGCUGGGCCAUAACUGACGCUCAUGGACGAAAGCCAGGGGAGCGAAAGGGAUUAGAUACCCCUGUAGUCCUGGCCGUAAACGAUGAACACUAGGUGUCGGGGGAAUCGACCCCCUCGGUGUCGUAGCCAACGCGUUAAGUGUUCCGCCUGGGGAGUACGCACGCAAGUGUGAAACUCAAAGGAAUUGACGGGGGCCCGCACAAGCGGUGGAGUAUGUGGUUUAAUUCGAUGCAACGCGAAGAACCUUACCAGGGUUUGACAUCCUGCGAAUCCCUAGGAAACUUGGGAGUGCCUUCGGGAGCGCAGAGACAGGUGGUGCAUGGCUGUCGUCAGCUCGUGUCGUGAGAUGUUGGGUUAAGUCCCGCAACGAGCGCAACCCACGUCUUUAGUUGCCAGCAUUCAGUUGGGCACUCUAGAGAGACCGCCGGUGAUAAACCGGAGGAAGGUGUGGAUGACGUCAAGUCAUCAUGCCCCUUACAUCCUGGGCUACACACGUACUACAAUGCUACGGACAAAGGGCAGCAAACUCGCGAGAGCUAGCAAAUCCCAUAAACCGUGGCUCAGUUCAGAUCGUAGGCUGCAACUCGCCUACGUGAAGGAGGAAUCGCUAGUAAUCGCAGGUCAGCAUACUGCGGUGAAUACGUUCCCGGGCCUUGUACACACCGCCCGUCACACCAUGGAAGUUGGCCACGCCCGAAGCCGUUACUCCAACCCUUGUGGAGGAGGACGUCGAAGGUGGGGCUGAUGACUGGGGUGAAGUCGUAACAAGGUA
rnacentral:rRNA from 1 species